rnacentral:lncRNA from 1 species
UUCCCUCUUCUUUUCUUUGGCUUUUGGCCCCAUUUUGAGAUAAACAAAGAAGGGGAAGAAAUACAUAUACAAAGUCUUGAGACUCAUACAAACACAUCAUCCUAAAGCACCCCAUCAUUUUUAUUGUGGGUAUUAUUCAGUUUUUUUUUUUUUAAUUCAAACUUUUGUGGUAUUUUGUUUUCAACGGUAGAUUUUCUUUUUCAUUUUAUUUCUAUAUGUGAAAAAGAGAAAAAAAAUUUCCAUGUAUUGAACUUGAAAGAGGAGUGGUGUUAUACUGUUUCAAUUUUGAGGAAUCAUCGAGGUUUUAAUUCUUCUUGGAUGAUUGAUUGUUUAUGGGAAUACCUGAUAGUUCAUUAUCAGAUCUGAUUGAGAAGGUUAGGUGUUGGAUUUCCUGGGGACCUAACUCAUCUGUGUGUUUAUCUGAGGAAUUUGCUGCCUAACAAUAGUUACAAAAUGUGUUGUGAGUGUGAUACAAGCUUUCCAAGAUGUCAUUGAGAUACCUGUGCCAGAGUUGUAAUCAGUCAUCUUGUGGAAAAUGUAUUCGGGUUAUGAAUCUUAUGUUGUUCAAUCAGAUGGUAUGAAGGUGGGUAAUGAGGCUGUGAAGAGAACCAAGUUGUGUAAGUUUUGUUCUGAUACUAAUCUCGGCUUGAAGGUGGGAGGAGACAUAGUGAGAAAGUUCAUCCUUCUGUCUCUCAGAUAUAGUCCAGAGCCUCCUUCUCCUAGUUAUGAUGGUGCAGACAAGUCCCAAUGAAGACUGAAUCACUUCCGAUGAUCGUCUGAGUCGAUAUCUUGAGUCAGAUUGUGGUUAUUCUCCCUAUGCAGCAUCACAUAGGAUUUCGAGCUCGUUUAAUGCUCAUCCAUUUCCUAUUUCGUUCGUCACUCGCCUAACUGGUAACAUUUCAUUUGAAUGCAAUUUCUGUUUGUCUCAUUACUUUUUUUGUGUUCUAGUUUGCAGUAACUUCUAUUAAUCUUGUACUUUUUGUUUAAAAUUAGUACAAUAUUUUAAGUGCUUGUAUGUGAAUUAUUUGUUCUUAUGUUCCCAUUAUGACAACGCAUAAGUUUGGUAUAUAGUUGUGUUGGUAGGUUUCUUUUUGAGUGCUUCUGAAAUUUUAUGUUAGAAUUAUAAAAAUUACUUUUAAAGCAAAAACUCUUUCAUUUAGUAUUGUCUUGUUGAUAGUACUCAACUUUCUGAUUUUGGAUGAUGCUCCUGGGAUCAAAGUACAAUAUAUUUCCACUUUAAAUCAAGAAAUCGGCUGUUGUUUCAAUUCUUUAAUGUCUAUUACUGAUACAGUAGAGUGACGUGAAAUGAUUUAAUACACUUAUCUCAUUUAGUAUUUUUUUACUAAUGUAGGAGUGACGAAGAUGAUGCAGAAGAUUCCGGGAGACAUUUUUUUAGCCCAUCAAGUGAUUAUUUUCGUGACAGUUCAGACAUAGAGUCAAGUAGUGUUAGUACUAGAAACGAGUUCUUUAGUUCUCAUUUUGGGGGAUCAAGUCCUUCUGACAGCCCCUCAAGGAACGAUUAUACUUUUAGUAAAGCUGAUUAUGUUGUACAGACAUUAGAUCCAGGUCAAAGGGUGAAUCUAUUGUCUCAAGAGGCUGAGACCAUUUUAAAUAGGUCUGAGAGACUGACUGAAGGCCAAGAUAAUAAACAGGCUUGCUCUGGUGACCUGCCUACUGUUCAGAACCAAGAUGGAAAGGUAGAGAGGCCAUUAGAUUUUGAAAACAAUGGUCUUAUAUGGUUCCCCCACCUCCUGAUGAUGAAAGCGAUGAUUUGGAGAAUAAUUUCUUUUCCUACAACGAUGAAGAUGACAAUAUUGGGGAUUCUGGUGCUAUGUUCUCCAGGACCAGUAGCCUUUCUAGCAUGUUUCCAGACAAGCAAAAUUUGCAUGAGGAGAAUAAGGAGCCAUUGAAAGCUAUGGUUCAGGGUCAUUUUAGGGCUCUCGUUGCUCAACUAUUGCAAGGGGAGGAUAUCCAAUCUGGAGGAGAUUGUGUUGACGUCUGGCUUGAUGUUAUUACCACAAUAGCCUGGCAAGCUGCAAAUUUUGUGAGACCAGAUACUAGCAGAGGAGGCAGUAUGGAUCCUGGGGAUUAUG